AGGAGGCGAAGGGUCAUGUGCUUUGUCCAGCUGGUACUCGCUGCAAGAUGUGCACUGAAGUUGCGUGAUGUGGUAGCAGCUGGAUGGCACAUUUUUCCUCCUGAAUGUAUCAGCUAAUAAACAGACUCAUCAUUUUGUUGAGACUGCUGUUGCUGCAGGACCUGAUAAACAAGGAAGCGUUCCGAUAUUGGAUUCUGUUGCUGUCAUUUUUGGGUUUUCCAGACAGAAUGUGGGACAACUGCAUUUCGAACUAGGAUGCCUCAGCUAAGUGCCUGUGCUUAGGCUGCCCGAGUUUCACAUUGGUGUCUCUGUUCUGGAGUUCGCCGUCUUGAAAAAUGGCAUCAUAGCUACUCUUCAUCUUACUGCAGGCGCUUGUGAAGAAAUCUAUUAUGAUUAUUAAUUUUGCAGUUGCACUUUCUGAUUUACUUUACUUGUUUAAAGGAAAACAAGUAAACAGAGAAGUCAUUAAAUAGUUGGAACGUUAAAAAUUUGCAGCCGUAACUGACAUUUAACAAGUACAUUGUGAGUGUUACAUGAGGACUUAAUCUUUUAUAUAGCACCUUGUUUUGAGGGAUAAUGUAGUGGUAUCAUUCGAUUAAAGGUUA